UAACGGUCCUAAGGUAGCGAAAUUCCUUGUCGGGUAAGUUCCGACCCGCACGAAUGGCGUAACGAUGGCCACACUGUCUCCUCCCGAGACUCAGCGAAGUUGAAGUGGUUGUGAAGAUGCAAUCUACCCGCUGCUAGACGGAAAGACCCCGUGAACCUUUACUGUAGCUUUGCAUUGGACUUUGAAGUCACUUGUGUAGGAUAGGUGGGAGGCUUAGAAGCAGAGACGCCAGUCUCUGUGGAGCCGUCCUUGAAAUACCACCCUGGUGUCUUUGAGGUUCUAACCCAGACCCGUAAUCCGGGUCGGGGACCGUGCAUGGUAGGCAGUUUGACUGGGGCGGUCUCCUCCCAAAGAGUAACGGAGGAGUUCGAAGGUUACCUAGGUCCGGUCGGAAAUCGGACUGAUAGUGCAAUGGCAAAAGGUAGCUUAACUGCGAGACCGACAAGUCGAGCAGGUGCGAAAGCAGGACAUAGUGAUCCGGUGGUUCUGUAUGGAAGGGCCAUCGCUCAACGGAUAAAAGGUACUCCGGGGAUAACAGGCUGAUAUCGACGGCGGUGUUUGGCACCUCGAUGUCGGCUCAUCACAUCCUGGGGCUGUAGUCGGUCCCAAGGGUAUGGCUGUUCGCCAUUUAAAGUGGUACGUGAGCUGGGUUUAAAACGUCGUGAGACAGUUUGGUCCCUAUCUGCAGUGGGCGUUGGAAGUUUGACGGGGGCUGCUCCUAGUACGAGAGGACCGGAGUGGACGAACCUCUGGUGUACCGGUUGUAACGCCAGUUGCAUAGCCGGGUAGCUAAGUUCGGAAGAGAUAAGCGCUGAAAGCAUCUAAGCGCGAAACUCGCCUGAAGAUGAGACUUCCCUUGCGGUUUAACCGCACUAAAGAGUCGUUCGAGACCAGGACGUUGAUAGGUGGGGUGUGGAAGCGCGGUAACGCGUGAAGCUAACCCAUACUAAUUGCUCGUGAGGCUUGACUCU
rnacentral:rRNA from 1 species